rnacentral:tRNA from 1 species
AAGGAGUAAAGUUAAAGUAAACUGUUGAUCUUCAAAAUUAACUAUGUAGGUACAAGUCUUUG